GUGAGGUCGUUCCCCAUCCCCCGUCACUUCCUGCCCUCCCACCCCGCUCACAGGCCCGACGCGCCGCCCUCUGCCAAUCCGCCCCAACGCUGCGCCGCCGCGCGACUCCCGCGCCCGAGCCGCCCGCUCGCAGGUCCCGACGCGCCGCCCUCCACCAAUCCUCUCAAAUGCCGCGCCGUGCCGCCGCACCGGGGACGCUUGCGGUCGGGGCUCGGCUCCGGCAGUGUCGGAGUCGUGGGAGGAGCACGGAGAUGGCGAUCGGGCUCCCCGCGCCUACCUUCCUGACUUGAACCUUCCGCAUCGACAACGGCGCCGAUGAGUUUGGCCGUCGCGUCCCUCCGUCGUCCACCAACUCCUCUGAUCUGAGUUCGGUCGCCGCUCCUCUUCUCCCUCCACGAAGCAGCGCGUGCAGGAGGAGGUAGCGUGGAUUUAGACGCUGCCGAGGCCUGAUGCUGCAGAGGAUAGAGAUUGCUGCAGAUAAAGCUUGAUCGGAUCAGUCACAUGGUUGAGGUGCUCAUCGGACGCAACGGCGGCUCCUGAUGCUGCAUUAACAUCCCGGCCAGCUACGAUUCGUCCUUCUUAGCAAGGCUUCAAAGGUGGCUAGGCAAUAGAUCAUUUUUAUAUGGUGUUCGUCUUUUACCAAUACAUUCGGAAAAUAUAAUUACUCAAUUUAUCACUUUUUACUGUUGCAUGAUGAAAUAUUACCGUUCUACUCUGGUAUGGUGUAUACAAGUAUUGCUGCUAAUUUUAGUGCAAUAGGAUGCGGUGUCAUGUCAAUGCAGUAUUCUGCAAAAAUAGAAGCACUGUCACUCUGAUCAUAUAGGGUCAAACCCUGUGAUGUCAUUUCACAUCUCCAGAGGUUUUCCAUAUAUUCGUAGCACUUUUUUGUAAAUUGGACAUACUAGGUUUAAUUGAAGAUCUUAAUAUCGCAAGUUUCUUGGUAUAGCAUUUCAUCUGCCAGCAGAUAAUUCAAUUUUUUUUACUGAUAUAUCCAGAAACGUUUAAUGUUGAAUCUGGAAUUAUGGUUUGGCUCUGGAAUUAUGUACUGUUCUUUCUUCUAUGCAUCCAUAUAAAACAGGUUCUGUUCAUUGUCCAAUUCCUUUCUUUAGCUGUUGUGCUGACUGUUGAGUUGAGAUAAGAGCUCAAAAAAAAUUCCAAAGAUGUGAUCGGCUUCAAGAUAUAAAUUCACUGAUGCAACUUUAUCUCUUCUUCUCAACAUGGUAGGUUACUUUCACCUAGAUUUUUGCUUGAUAGAAAAUACUAGCUUUUUCUUGGAAGAUAGAAAUUCUGAAGCAUUUAUCAUGUUGUCUACUUCCUACUACAGCAAGUGAGGCCAACAUUGUUAGAAUCCACUAGAUUGUAGCCUCAUCUGUUUCUUAAGAUUUUUGUUGUUUCACUAUUUCUACAACAAGAAUAUUGAUUAUUGGUACGAUAGUUUUGCUUUCCAGCAGGCAGCAGGAAUCUAUCUAUGCUAUUUGAUUUGACAUUAUGGACCUUCUGUCAGGAAGCAGCUCGCUGGAUGUUAUCUUGGUAAAAAUGUUCAGGAAGCAGGCAGCUCGUCAGGGUCGCCGGACCCCCAUGAAAUCUGCAAAAUCCCACAUAGACUGAUGUUCGUCUCUGUAUCUGAUCCUGCUGUCCUAAUGGUGGCAUGCUCGGCUGGCUUCGCCCCUGAUGAUGUUCCUGACUCCAAGCUGGUGCUAGCGUUUCUUUGUUGUCUUAGUUGUAAUUUCCUUUCUUAAUGGUAAUUUUGCUGUUCUGCUAUUUAUUUCAAAAUUUAUGUUAAAAGCAAUUGCUAUCAUAAAGCUAUUCUCACUUUA